CUACAGCAAACUCACAGAUGAGAUCUUUGAGCAGAUCUUGUCCUCAACUUCUGAUAAACUGAAGGAAUCUCGAGACAUCUUGAACAAGAUCAUCAGAAGAAAACUGCCAAAGUUUAUUGGAGAAGCUCGACUGAGUGAGAAACACAUCUCAGAGGAAGAGCUGACAGAAACAUGGAAAGCUGCAGUAGAGAAGCACAAAUCUACAGACCCCACUGUUUCUCUGAACGCAGAUGAUUUACCAGUUUAUGUGGUUGAUCUGGAUCAUUGGCAUGAAGGACAAAAACCCCAUUGAAAACGUCUAUUUCUACAGCAAGAGGAACCCAACGAAGCUUCUGCCAUUAAGGAUUAUCAGCUGUCCAGUUUCCUGCCAAAGAGGUUUAAUGAAGAGCUGGUCAGAGUUUACUACAAAAGAAAUGAUGAGAAUAAAGAGGAGCAGAUGAA